CACCAAGAGAUGACGUCAGCGCUGAGCCUGGGUGUUCGAUGCCGGCCGGGAAACCAACCCUGCGCUGAGCUCCACCGACAGGCCAGGCUUUUGUUGACAGAAGGGGACGCAGGCGAAGACAGAGGGAGAUGAAGACAGAUGGAGACGGAAGCCAGCCAGCUCCAUCUACAGGCCAGGCUGUUGUACAAAGUUGUAUAAAGUAGAAGUAGAAAACAUACGUUUUAGGAAAGUUUUAGGAAAGAACAUCAUAUUUCAAGUAAGUGUUUGACUUUUUUUUUCUGUUGAAUAAAUUAAGAUAUUAUAUUUUAAGUAAAGUUAGUAGCUUAAUUUCUUAUGAAGCCCCCAACAUUUUAAUGAAUUUAUAUCUAUAAUAUAACAAUAUAUUAAUGUAGCAUGAUUCAUUAUUGGGCAGUUCUUUAUGUCAUUGAGCUUUGUAAAACAGUGAACUGGCUAGUUUUGUGGUUCUCUUUUUAUUUAUUUACAGAUGACCGAGCCUUAUUUUACUGAAGGGGAGAAGAUGGAUGGUGCUGUGGACAGACGGAGAUGAAGACACAGAGAGGCGAGCACGAAGACAGACGAGGACGAAGACAAUGGGAGACGAAGACACACGUGGAUGAAGGAACAGAGCGAAGAAGGCGAGGAAGAAGAUAGACAGAGACAAAGACUGACAGAGACGAAGACAGACAAAGACGAAGACAGACGGAGAUGAAGACAGACGAAGACGAAGACUGAGUGAGACAAAGACUGAGAGAGAGGAAGACAAACGAAGACGAAGACAGAGAGAGACGAAGACAGUUGGGGAGAGAUGAAGAAGGCAUAGCAAGAUGACCUGACUCUGUUCCUUCUCUCUACCUCUAUAAGGCUCAGAAGAGGGGGAGCAGUGUAGAGGAAGAGGAGUGGAGGGACAUGGUCCAGACCUCCAUACCACAGCUGUACCCCAGCACCUGGUCCUACUACUGCUUCUGACAGAUCAUCCCCACAUCGUUAACUGCCCUUAACACCAUGUCUAACUCAUUCACACCCUACUCUGUUUCCAAU
rnacentral:lncRNA from 1 species